UUGAGUUUCAUUUACCAAGGGUCCAGCUAGAACAAUCUAGUCGUUGCAUCGAGCCUGGUGACCAUCACUGGCAGCUGGAAGGCAGCCAUAUUGAUAUUAUCUGUGAUUGUGCACCCCUGGGACAGGCUCAGGGAUGGCCUCGUGUGAGGUGUGUGGAAAGGAAGGAGACCACCAACCUGGGGAGACUGAAGUAUGGCACCCUGAUUGCUCAAGAAGAAUUGUUGCUUAGGCAAAGUUAGUGACCUUGCUCAUCUCCCGUGCUGUUGCUUCCCCUUCUGCUCUUGCAGGCAUUCUCUUGAACCCCUGUGUAUCAAGGUGCAUAUCCAUGAAGGCCUGUGGUCAGAUGCUGAUGAGAAAAGGAAAGGGAAAGGAGCAUUUGGUACCAGUCCCUCCGAAAACGUCAGAGGAGGUUUUUGAAAUGUUCACCAAGCUGGAAUCCCAGAUUGCCAAUCUAGGACAUGACUUGAUGUGGACACAUCCUGAACUCUGUCCUCCUAUGAAAUGAAACGUGUAAACCAACUCACAUUCAGGGUCUGCCUGUCCAUCAUGUUCAGGCAGAGCAGAAGACAUUCAUAGACUGCUGCUGACCACAGAUGAAGUCCCCCAAGAAAAAAAUAAAUCAACUGAGGAUGCCUUUCCUCUUCACCUCCUCGUCUUCAUGGAGAACUUCAGUGCAUCCUUCAAGACGUGGCCCAAGUUUCUCUACAACUAUAAUUGUAUCAAAACCAUUUGUUGAUACGUCCUCAGCUACUUGAGGGUAGCAGCCAAGGUAUUCAUGUUUAUUUCCCCUCUUCAGAUUUCAUCUCCUAAUCCUCUAUCUGGUCUUCUUUCUGUUCUUCAGCUAUGUGAAGUCUCCGAGCUUUUCCUCUGGCUACUCCCUUUGCCUGGAAAUCCCUUCCCUGUCCCCAUACUUACUGUUCUCAGAAGUGGCUCAUUCAUCAUUCAGGUCUCAGCUCAAAUGUCACCUCUGCAGAGAGGCAGUCUCUACUGUCCCAGAUCUAAAGUAGUCCCCCUCCCAACAACCUUCCAAACAUUCUCUUAUUAUCCUGUUUCAUUUCUACUGAAGUAUUUGUCACCAUCAGAAAUGAUCUUGUUUAUCUCUGUGUUUAUUUGUUCCUCUCCCCUGUUCUCUCAUUCCUCACUAGAACAUAUUCCUCUGCCCGGCAUGCAGUGUCCUUGUCUACAUUCAUUCAUGUAGUCCUAGUGCUUACAACAGUUCUUGACACGUAGUAGGUAUCAAUCAAUGUCUUUGGGAUUAGUGUAUUAUAUGUAGGAUUUGUAAUUCUAAGAAUGGGUAUAAAUAGGAUUAUUUUAUGAGUAUAGGUCUCCUGACAAGUGGAGAUAAAAAGGUGAACAUGCUAAUCAACCUCCCCCUCCUUCCCAUCUCUUUAGCAACUAUGCCCUGAGUCAUUAUUUGAAUAUUUUUACGUUUUGUCUUUCACAGCUGUCUUUAUUUGUCAAGAAUGUGUUAAGGCCUAACUUUUUCAAGGCCUUUUAGACCACAGACACUGGAGCCAAACUAUCUAGGUUCAAGUCCCAGUUCUGUCCAUAUGUGACCUUAGGCAAGUAAUUCAACCUCUCUGUGCCUCAGUUUCCACAUUCCUAAAUUGGUGCCUGCCUCAUGGGAUUGUUGGGAUGAUUACAAGAAUAUAUGCAAAACACUCAGAACAGUGCCUGGCCAAAGUAAGUG